ACUCAAAUGAAUUGACGGGGGCCCGCACAAGCAGCGGAGCGUGUGGUUUAAUUCGACGCAACGCGAAGAACCUUACCUGGGCUUGACAUGCGCGUGGUACGACCUCGAAAGGGGGAGGACCCGCAAGGGAGCGCGCACAGAUGCUGCAUGGCUGUCGUCAGCUCGUGCCGUGAGGUGUUGGGUUAAGUCCCGCAACGAGCGCAACCCUCGCUGCCAGUUACCAUGUCUGGCGGGACCGCCGGGUCCAACCCGGAGGAAGGUGGGGAUGACGUCAAGUCAGCACGGCUCUUACGUCCAGGGCUACACACACGCUACAAUGGCCGGUACAACGCGCAGCGAUGGGGCGACCCGGAGCGAAUCGCACCAAAGCCGGUCUCAGUUGGGAUUGCAGGCUGCAACUCGCCUGCAUGAACGCGGAGUUGCUAGUAACCGCAGGUCAGCACACUGCGGUGAAUACGUUCCCGGGCCUUGUACACACCGCCCGU
rnacentral:rRNA from 1 species